rnacentral:rRNA from 1 species
UCGAAUCCUGUGAUAGCAGAAUGACCCCAUUAACACGUAAAAACAUCGGGCGAGCAUCGGAUGGCCCUAGGGCCCCUGUUUGCGAACCCAUGGUAGGUGGCCCCUCACGGGUGUCCACCCGCCAACGAAAUCAACCGGGCGCUGAAUGCGCCAAGGAAACUAAUGCAGAAUUGUUCGUUCGCUUCUUGUUCGCAGGAAGCUUCGUCAGUCUGAAACAA